CACGGUAGUCUAGCGGUUAGAACGCUGGCCUAGUAAUCCUGGAGUCUCGGGUUCGAUUCCCGGCGGUG
rnacentral:tRNA from 1 species